GGGGCUACGAAAUGAGGGCGCUUUGGGUCACCCUCCCACCCGUGUUUAUUUUACCUUGUUGCUUCGGCGGGCCCGCCUUUACUGGCCGCCGGGGGGCUCACGCCCCCGGGCCCGCGCCCGCCGAACACACCCCCGAACUCUGUCUGAAGAUUGAAGUCUGAGUGAAAAUAUAAAUUAUUUAAAACUUUCAACAACGGAUCUCUUGGUUCCGGCAUCAAUGAAGAACGCAGCGAAAUGCGAUACGUAAUGUGAAUUGCAAAUUCACUGAAUCAUCUAGUCUUUGAACGCACAUUGCGCCCCCUGGUAUUCCGGGGGGCGUGCCUGUCCGAGCGUCAUUGCUGCCCUCAAGCCCGGCUUGUGUGUUGGGCCCCGUCCUCCAAUUCCGGGGGACGGGCCCAAAAGGGAGCGGCGGCACCGCGUCCGGUCCUCUAGCGUAUGGGGCUUUGUCAGCCGCUCUGUAUGCCCGGCCGGCGCUUGCCGAUCUUCCAGAUUUUUAUCCAGGUUGACCUCGGAUCAGGUAGGGAUACCAGCUGAACUUAAGCAUAUCUAUACGGCUGAGGAAAAUUAUAUAAUUAAGGGCAUUUAAGUCCAACUCCCCCCUGUUUAUUUUACCUUGUUGCUGCCGGGGAACACCUUACCGGCCCCUGGGGGCUCAGCCCCCGGCCGCUCGCCAAGACCCCCAGAUUGGUUGGGCCAGACGUUUUGAAAACAAAUUUAAUUAUAUAAACAUUUACUCAAAUAUUGAAUUGGUCUCCAACACUUUAAGAAACUCGGAAUUGCACAACAAAAGAGCAGAAGUGCAAUAUGGAAGAAGAAUUGCUUAUUUUCAUGAAUCAGCACCUCUGGAGCAGGGGCCGGGAAAAUCCAAAGGCCCCCGCUUCAACCCGUUUCUCCCCCCGCUUCGCCUCGAAGGAAACCCAAAGGCGAAAAAGCCUUUGCUUCAAAAGAAUGGGCUGGGUCCAACCGGAAAAGGCCGCCCGCCCCCCCACGCAAAAUGUUUUUCCAACCCAUUGAAUGGUGGGGGCCGGACUAUUCCUUGUUUUGUUGGCCCGGCAGUUAAAAACCAAACUUUUGGAACCAAAACCCGGGGGGAAAACCCG
rnacentral:misc_RNA from 1 species